AUAGUUAAAAUUGAUUAUAUAUGAUUACACGAAGUUGAAGGAGCUAGUUUCAAUGUUUAAUCGAAUUGUGCGAUGUAGCAAAAUCUAUAAUUAAUAGUGACUAGGGGUGAUAGGCCUAUCACAUUCAACGAUAGCUUGAUUUCUUAGAAAUUUAUUUAGUAUAAGGUAUCUUAGGAGUGAGAAGGCCCCUAAGUAUAAUAAAUUUAUGUUAAGGUUUAUCAGUAGUAUAAUGAUUAGUGAUUUUAUUUAUAUAACAUACUUGUAUAUUACAUUAUUAUAAGUAUAGGAAAGUAUAUUAACCAUUCAAUACACAUAUAAUGCUAUUAUUAGUGAUUUAAUAGAUAUAUUUAAUGAACUCGGCAAUAGACCUAUUAACUGUUUAUCAAAAACAUAGCCAUAUGAAUUUACAUAUUUGGUAAUUUCUGCUCAAUGAAUUUUUAAAUAGCCGCAGUACCUUGACUGUGCAAAGGUAGCGUAAUCAAUUGACUUUUAAUUGAAGUCCUGUAUGAAAGAAUACAUAAGGGGUCGCUGUCUCGAAUAUAAAUAAUGAAUUUACUUAAUAAGUGAAAAUUCUUAUAAUUAAAUAAUAGACGAGAAGACCCUUGAAAUUUUAAGAAUAUUAUAAUUAAUCUUUUUGUUGGGGCAACAUAGUAACAAGUAACUUAUUAUAAUUAACAUGAAAAAUAUAUUUUGCAAGGAUAAAUUACUCUAGGGAUAACAGCAUAAUUUAUAAUAGUUUGUGACCUCGAUGUUGGAUUAAGGGGUUGACGUUUAAAAG
rnacentral:rRNA from 1 species